GAGGUGUCACGACGGGUGGUGUUGGUGUUGGUGGUGUAAUGACGGGUGGAGUUGGUGUUGGUGGUGUAAUGACGGGUGGAGUUGGCGUUGGCGGUGUUACGACGGGUGGGGUUGGUGUUGGUGGAGUUAUGACGGGUGGGGUUGGUGUUGGCGGUGUUACAACUGGUGGAGUCGGCGUUGGUGUUGGUGGUGGGCAUGGUGUAGGCGGAGGCUUGUGGUGGGGUGGUUUCGGAGUAGACGGAGGAGGCUUGGUCGUGGGAGGUUUAGGUGUGGACGGGGGAGGUUUGGUGGGAGGUUUAGGGGUGGACGGAGGAGGCUUGGUUGGUGGCUUUACGAUGGGAGGUUUUGGGUGGGGGUGAGGUUUGGUGGGUGGUUUAGGGUGGGGUGGUUUGACGGUGGGUGGCUUAGGGUGGGGUUUGACGGUUGGUGGUUUAGGAUGGGGUUUGACGGUUGGUGGUUUAGGAUGGGUAGGUGGUUUUACUGCCGGUGGUUUAGGUGGUUUGACGGCAGGAGGUUUAGGCGGUUUGACUGGAUGUUUUGGUGGUUUGUGAGGUGCUGGUGAUGGUUUAGGAGGGGUACAGUCGCAAGCAUAGGAGACGGCAACGAAGCCAAGGAGGAGGAGGACGAGAAAGGAGAGGUUUUGAGAGCGAGACCCCAUUUUUUGGAAUGAGGGUUUGGGUUUCUGAAAGGAGUGAGUA
rnacentral:lncRNA from 1 species